rnacentral:rRNA from 1 species
UGGCUCAGGACGAACGCUGGCGGCGUGCCUAAUACAUGCAAGUCGAGCGAACCGAUGAAGAGCUUGCUCUUCAAAGGUGAGCGGCGGACGGGUGAGUAAUACGUGGGCAACCUGCCUGCAAGAUCGGGAUAACUCCGGGAAACCGGGGCUAAUACCGGAUAAUGCAUUUCGCUGCAUGGCGGAAUGCUAAAAGGCGGCUUCGGCUGUCACUUGCAGAUGGGCCCGCGGCGCAUUAGCUAGUUGGGGAGGUAACGGCUCCCCAAGGCGACGAUGCGUAGCCGACCUGAGAGGGUGAUCGGCCACACUGGGACUGAGACACGGCCCAGACUCCUACGGGAGGCAGCAGUAGGGAAUUUUCCGCAAUGGGCGCAAGCCUGACGGAGCAACGCCGCGUGAGUGAGGACGGCUUUCGGGUUGUAAAACUCUGUUCUUCGGGAAGAACGACGGUCGGGUGAAUAGCCCGAUUGCGUGACGGUACCGAAGGAGAAAGCCCCGGCUAACUACGUGCCAGCCGCUGC